UGCCAGCAGCCGCGGUAAGACAGAGAUGGCAACCGUUGUUCGGAAUCACUGGGCGUAAAGAGCGUGUAGGCGGAUAAAUAAGUUUGAAGUGAAAUCCUGUGGCUCAACCAUAGAACUGCUUUGAAAACUGUUUAUCUAGAAUAUGGGAGAGGUAGAUGGAAUUUCUGGUGUAGGGGUAAAAUCCGUAGAGAUCAGAAGGAAUACCGAUUGCGAAGGCGAUCUACUGGAACAUUAUUGACGCUGAGACGCGAAAGCGUGGGGAGCAAACAGGAUUAGAUA
rnacentral:rRNA from 1 species